GUGGUGGCUCAGUGGUUAGAGCUUAGUCUUGGGAGCGAAUGGUCCCGGGAUCGAAUCUCACGAGAGACA
rnacentral:tRNA from 1 species